rnacentral:lncRNA from 1 species
GCGUCAUCUCACGUGUCGGGGUGAUCUCCAACUUUUAGGCUCCAGAGAUCCUCCCGCAUCGGCCUCCCGGAGUGCUGUGAUGACACGCGUGGGCACGACGGAGUUUCACUCUUGUCGCCCAGGGUGGAGGACGAUGGCGGAUCUCGGCUCACCGCACCCUCCGCCUCCCAGGUUCAAGGGAUUCUCCUGCCUCAGCCUUCCCGAGUAGCUGCGAUGACAGCGAUGAGCCAUCGUGCCUGGCUAAUUUUUCUAUUCCUAGUACAGAUGGGGUUUCUCCAUCUUGGUUAGGCUGGUCUUCAACUUCCGACCGUUGGAGGAUCUUAACUUUCUUGGUGGUGGUUGCUUUUCUUUUUCUUUUUUUCUUUUCUUUUCUUUCCUUCUCCUUCCCCCCCCCAACCCCCCUUGUCGUCGUCGUCGUCCUCCUCCUCCUCCUCCUCCUCCUCCUCUUUCAUUUCUUUCAGCUGGGCUCUCCUACUUGUGUUGCUCUGUUGCUCACGCUGGUCUCAAACUCCUGGCCUUGACACUUCUCGCGUCACAUCCGCCGUCUGCUUGUUGAAAUGAGCAUCUCUCGUAAAAUGGAAAAGAUGAAAGAGAUAAACACGAAGACGGAAAGCACGGUGUGAACGUUUCUCUUGCCGUCUCCCGGGGUGUACCUUGGACGCGGAAACACGGAGGGAGCUUGGCUGAGUGGGUUUUCGGUGCCGAAACCUCCCGAGGGCCUCCUUCCCUCUCCCCCUUGUCCCCGCUUCUCCCCCAGCCGAGGCUCCCACCGCCGCCCUGGCAUUUUCCACAGGAGAGGUAUAGGGAGAGGACUGACACGCCUUCCGCAUCUAUAUCCUGCCGGACGUCUCUGGCUCGGCGUGCCCCACCGGCUACCUGCCACCUUCCAGGGAGCUCUGAGGCGGAUGCGACCACACCCCCGUCCCCCCCGUCACGUCCCGCUACCCUCCCCCGGCUGGCCUUUGCCGGGCGACCCCAGGGGAACCGCGUUGACGCUGCCCUCGGAUCCUCCGGCGAAGACUUCCACCGCAUGCCCCGGGUGGGCCGGUUGGGAUGAGACUGGACCACCCCGGACCGUGCUGUUCUUGGGGCACACAGAUGAGACGCGUGAGAGGGAGAAACAGCUCAAUAGAUACUGCUGACCUUCAUUUGUGGAAUCCUCAGUCGUCUACACACAAGACAGACGGAGUCUCGCUCUGGGCGGGGCGGGGCGAGGCGAGGCACAGCGCAUCGCUUUGGAAGCCGCGGCAACGCCUUUCAAAGCCCCAUUCAUAUGCACAAAGCCCUAUUCCCUUCCUGGAGUUGGAGCUGAUGCCUUCCGUAGCCUUGGGCUUCUCUCCAUUCGGAAGCUUUGACAGGCGCAACCCCACCCAGAGGCUGCCUGCGGCUGAGGAUUAGGGGGCUGCGGUGCAGUGGCGCUCUCUCGGCUCACUGGAACCUCUGCUUCCCGGGCUCCAGUGAUUCUUCUUCGGUAGCUGGGAUUACAGGCACGCACCAGGAUGGCCGGCUCAUAUUCUUAUUUUUAGUAGAGAGGGGGUUUCUCCACGUUGGCCACGCUGGUAUCGAACUCUUGACCUCAAAUGAUGCGCCUUCCUGGGCCUCCCAAAGUGCUGGAAACGACCGGCCUGAGCCGCCGGGAUUUCAGCCUUUAAAAGCGCGGGCCCUGCCAACUUUCGCUGCGGCCCUUACGCUCAGAAGGACGUGUCCUCUCUGCCAUAGGUUGACUCCUUGAGUCCCCUAGGCCAUUGCACUGUAGCCUGGGCAGCAAGAGCCAAACUCCGUCCCCCCACCUCCCCGCGCAAAUAAUAACUAACUAACGAACGAACGAACUAACUAAGUAAAUAAAAUCUCUACACGUC